rnacentral:rRNA from 1 species
GUGCAGCAGGCGAGAAACCUUCGCAAUGCGGGAAACCGCGACGAGGGGACUCCCAGUGCCUACGCUCAGCGUAGGCUGUUCCCGAGCCUAGAAAGCUCGGGGAGUAAGGGCUGGGUAAGACGGGUGCCAGCCGCCGCGGUAAUACCCGCAGCCCGAGUGGUGGCCACUAUUAUUGGGCCUAAAGCGUCCGUAGCCGGCCCGGUAAAUGCCUGGGUAAAUCGUGAGGCCUAACCUCACGAAUUCCGGGUAGACUGCCGGGCUAGGGACCGGAGGAGGGAGAGGGGUACUCCAGGGGUAGGGGUGAAAUCCUGUAAUCCCUGGAGGACCACCGGUGGCGAAGGCGCUCUCCUAGGACGGGUCCGACGGUGAGGGACGAAAGCCAGGGGAGCGAACCGGAUUAGAUA